rnacentral:rRNA from 1 species
AGAGUUUGAUCCUAGCUCAGGAUGAACGCUGGCGGUGUGCCUAAGGUAUGCAAGUCGAACGGUAAGGCCCCUUCGGGGGUACACGAGUGGCAAACGGCUGAGUAACGCGUAGGAAUCUACCUCAAAGUCAUGAAUAGCUCACCGAAAGGUGAGGUAAUACAUGAUAUUUCUUCGGAAGAAAGAUUUCUCGCUUUGAGAUGAGCCUGCGUCCUAUCAGGUUGUUGGUGGGGUAAUUGCCUACCAAGCCUAUGACGGGUAGCUGGUCUGAGAGGAUGUCCAGCCAGAAUGGGACUGCGACACGGCCCAUACUCCUACGGGAGGCAGCAAUUAGGAAUCUUGCGCAAUGGACGAAAGUCUGACGCAGCGACACCGCGUGGAGGAUGAAGGUUUUCGGAUUGUAAACUCCUUUUAUCGGGGAACAAGUUCUGAGUGUACCCGAUGAAUAAGGCCCCCCUAACUACGUGCCAGAAGGGUCGGUGAUGCGUAGGGGUCAAGCGUUAUCCGGAAUUACUGGGCGUAAAGAGAUGCGUAGGCUCCCAAUCAAGUUUGGUGUUAAAGCCUAGAGCUCAACUCUAGAGAUGCGCCGAAAACUAGUUGGGUUGAGCCAGUCAGGGGAAAGCGGAAUUCCAGGUGGAGCGGUGAAAUGCGUUGAUAUCUGGAGGAACACCGAUGGCGAAGGCAGCUUUCUGGGACUGUGCUGACGCUAAGGCUCGAAAGCGUGGGUAGCAAAACGGAUUAGAUACCCGUGUAGUCCACGCCGUAAACGAUCCCUGCUAGGUGUCUGUUUUUUGCAAGGUUUCAACUUCGGUUGAUUUCUAGCCGGAAAUGGGUGCCACAGUUAACACAUUAAGCAGGGCGCCUGGGGAGUACGGCCACAAGGCUAAAACUCAAAGGAAUUGACGGGGACUCGCGCAAGUAGUGGAGCGUUUGGUUUAAUUCGAUGCUAAACGAAGAACCUUACCAGGGCUUGAACUGUAGCUGCACGUUUCUAGAAAUAGAUUCAUCCUUCGAGGGUGCUACAGAGGUGCUGCAUGGUUGUCGUCAGCUCGUGUCGUGAGAUGUUGGGUUAAGUCCCGCAACGAGCGCAACCCCUAUCCAGUGUUAUAAUUUCUCUGGAGACUGCCUUGCCAAAACGAGGAGGAAGGUGGGGACGACGUCUAAUCAUCAUAGCCCUUAUGUCCUGGGCUACACAAGCGCUACAAUGGUUGGUACAAUGGGUAGCCAAAUCGCAAGAUGGAGCCAAUCCCGUAAAGCCAAUCCCAGUUCGGAUUGUCGGCUGAAAUUCGCCGAUAUGAAGUCGGAAUUACUAGUAAUCGUGGAUCAGCAAGCCGCGGUGAAUACGUUCUCGAGUCUUGUACACACCGCCUGUCAAGUCACGGAAGUUGGUCUUACCCGUAGGGUUUCUUUAUUGGAGCACGACGGUAGGGCUAGCGACCAGGGCUAAG